rnacentral:rRNA from 1 species
GAUGAACGCUGGCGGCGUGCCUAAUACAUGCAAGUCGAGCGAACGGACGAGAAGCUUGCUUCUCUGAUGUUAGCGGCGGACGGGUGAGUAACACGUGGAUAACCUACCUAUAAGACUGGGAUAACUUCGGGAAACCGGAGCUAAUACCGGAUGAUAUUUUGAACCGCAUGGUUCAAAAGUGAAAGACGGUCUUGCUGUCACUUAUAGAUGGAUCCGCGCUGCAUUAGCUAGUUGGUAAGGUAACGGCUUACCAAGGCAACGAUGCAUAGCCGACCUGAGAGGGUGGUCGGCCACACUGGAGGGGGGACACGGUCCAGAGUCCUGCGGGAGGCAGCAGUAGGGAAUCUUCGGCAGUGGGCGAAAGCAUGACGGAGCAACGCCGCGUGGGUGAUGAAGGUCUUCGGAUCGUAAAACUCGGUUAUUAGGGAAGAACAUAUGUGUAAGUAACUGUGCACAGCUUGACGGUACCUAGUCAGAAAGCCACGGCUAACUACGUG